rnacentral:lncRNA from 1 species
CACAGAGGUGGGGGCCGUGUUUAGGCUGAGCCUGGGCAGCAGCUUCACCACAAAUGUUUACAGAAAAUCCAAGUGUUACGUGGGCAGCUGAACUGGAUGCCCUCUGCGGUUUCUCCCAGCCCUCUAGGGCCGGGCUCUGUGCCCACAAAUGGGAUGCCAGGGUGAAGGAGAAGGAAGAGCUAAAAAUGACUCCUCCACUGCUGGCCUGGAAGCCUGGAAGAUGCUGCUGCUGGUGUAAGCGAAGAACUUAGGAUGAAAUUGAUUGGUGGGAAUGGCAGGAGAAGAUUUUUUUGUGAUACAGUGUCAGAAAAGCAAGGAGUUUGGGUCAGACCAGUUACGUCUUUGAAGCUUUCCACGUGUCUGUGUCUUCCUUGGAGCACCUCCCAGUGUUGUCAGGAGGAUUUAGAGAAAACAGCCUGCCCAGUGCUUUUGCUUGACUAGCAGAGACAGCUGGAUAAAGGUUUUAUGGGAGGCGAUGUCGGCAUUCGUAGGGCCUGUGCCUUUUCUGUGACUCAGUGAUGGGCCAGUGGAAACGGCCGUUUCCACAGUUGGACAGAACGAGGUUUGUGUCCUGGUGUUGCUCACAGACGUCUCAACCAGACGGAGUCCGGACUCCACCACGUGGCAAUAACGAGAAGGCUGUGUCCCCCACCACCUGUCCCGUGGCACCAUCGGCAUAGCUCACAGCAGGUGCUGAAUAAACGCUCGCGAACUUUGGAAACUCCUUACCAUGUGGGAUGAGAAACAGUCAUCCUAUCCCAGAGACAUGCAUUUUCCUGUGUCACGGGACCAUGCGGUGAUACACAGAAGGCUGGCUUCUGCAGCAGCAGGGAAUCAACCUAAAUGCCCAUAAUAACUGACCGGAUCAAGAAAACGUAGUUCAUAUGCUCCGUGGAAUACUAUGCGGCCAUAAAAAAGAAGGAGAUCACAUCUUAUUCAGAAACAUGGACAGACCUGGAGACCACUAUCCUAAGUGAACUAACUCAGGAACAGAAAAGCAAAUACUGCACAUUCUCACAUAUAAGUGGGAGCUAAAUGACGAGAACACGUGGACACAAAGAAAGGAACAACAGACACUGGAGCCUACUUUAGGGUGGAGGGUGGGAGGAGGGAGAGGAGCAGAAGAAAUAACUAUUGGGGGCUGGGCUCAGUACCUGGGUGAUGAAAU